CACCAGCUAAUCCUCCUCUAGUGCUUAUCUCUCAAGCACAGUUCUAAGUUUGUACAUAUAUUUGAAAUCUAUGACAAAUUCUGUAAGUUUGACACUGUUAUCAUCAUGCUCAUAUUCAGGUGGAAAGACUAAGGUGCAGAAGCUAAGCACCUGCCUGAGUUUCCUACAGGUAAGUGGAAAAGAGGGGGCCAACCCCAGAGCUUGAACCUUUCGCUGCUAUGCCACACUGGGUUUGAAGGGUAGUUUUCUUGAGAAUAGAGGGGACACAGUGAUUGGACAGUGAUGCUCUGCUGCCAUAGGCCAGGAAUUCUGUUUCAUUAUGACUCAGGCACAUCACCUUGUGGUUUCUUUAUACAGAGAUCAGCUUCCCUGAUGUAGUUGGAGAAGAAAUGGACAUAAGAGGAACAAGGUCCAGUGUGUCAUCCCACUUCUUACUCUGAUCAUUCUCACGUUCAUCUCUAAGUUUCUUGAGCAUGAAAAAAGUUUCAAAUACUUUUCAAAGCCGUGGACAACUUCAUAAAGUGGAUUUGUGCAGCAACCAGAACAGCCCUAUCUAUGUUCUCACUUGAAAGAAAGCCAAGUAUCAGACAGAGGAGGAUGUCAGUUUCUGUGGCACCCAUGGCAAUUCAGAUGCAGGGUGCAAUGUUAAAGUCUACACCUCUACAUAACUCUUGGAGGCUGGCAAAAGUACAAACGAGCCAAUACUUGUUGAAUACAUACAGUUAUUUCAAGCACUGAGCUGUUUUAUAGUCCUCCAUCAAAUAAAAUAGACAUUCUGAUCCAUUUUAUGGAUAAGUAACCAAAGACUUGGAGUUGUUAAGUAGCCUGCCUAAGGUUACACAAGUGGUAAGUGGCAGAGACUAGAUUUGAAACCCCGUGUGUCAAGGGUCUUUCCUCUAUAUCAGCCUUGCUGCUUCAAUUGUAGAAAAGUAUCCAUUUUAUUGUAGUGGAGGUCUCAGCUGAGCUGAGGUCACAAUUCAGAAUUUACAUGGGGCUAGUGAGUUUAUUGGUGGAAACCUGAAGACAAAUAUUUUGAGUUUUUGUACUGGGGGCCAGGAAUUUUCAUAAAGUAGACUUGUGUGAAUAUAAGGACAGAAACAAAUGGUGUUGAAGGCAUUAUGACAUUAAUUUCUCUACCUGGUCUACCCUCUACGGAGAGAUAAUCUAAAGGCAGAAAUACAUAAGCUGUUUCUAUGAGGAACUUUAUUUAUUUGAUAGCAUCUUAUUCUGGUCACCCAGGCUGGCGUUCAGUGGUGAUCAUUGUUCACUGUCACCUCAAACUCCUGGGCUAAAGUGAUCCUCACUCCCCAGCCUCCAGAGUAGCUAGGACUAUAGGCACACACCAUCACACCCAGCUAAUUUAUAAAUAUUUUUGUAGAGACAAGGUCUCACCACGUUGCCCAGGCUUGUCUCAAACUCCUGGGCUCAAGUGAUCCUCCCGUCUCAGCCUCCCAAAGACCUGGGAUUAUAGAUGGGAGCUAUCCUGCUUGGCCUCAUGGGAAACUUUUUUGUUGUCAUAUGAACAUAGUGUGACAAGGUCAAAGGCUAGAGGAGUAAACAGGGACUAAUUUGUGAAGGGCUUUGGGGCCAAGAGAGAGGGUUAGUACUCCAUCCUCAGAGCAAUAGGAGUUGGUUAAAAGAAUUGAAGCAGGGGAAUAAAAUAGCCAUCUUAG
rnacentral:lncRNA from 1 species